AUCACACUUCAAGAUGUAAUCCGGAGGACCUGUGUUUUAUUUGUCUAUCAUAUAAAUGUAGCUAAAAUUUCAUUAAAAAUAUUGAAAAAAUUCUCAACAGAACAGAAAUUAAAUAAAUUAGCAUCAAAGAGAGUCUAAAAAUUUUGUUAAAAAUGUCACUUUGAUGUGAUGUCACAUCCAGACAAAAUUUAGCCAGACAGUGAAAAAGGUAGCAAAGAUGCUGAGGAAGUGUGUUGUAUACGGUCAUUCUGCGUCAAACGCUGACAGAGUCAACUUACAUGAACAGCCGAAAGAAAAACAAUUAGGCAGGUUAUGACCAGGUUUGUGAAGAAAAAGCAGGCGCAUUGGACUUACAAAUCAAAGUCGACAUAAUAUGUUCCAAGCAUUUCACAGAGGACUGCUUUGAAAAUCCGGUAUAGCGUUCACUUGCCUUCGGUAGCGAGGGGUGAUGAAAUUUGGACACUGUAUAAAGUUAGCGUACUGUUGACGGUGAGGUCUUCCUGAAAUUCGACUACGGCAGUAUGUGCGCUGUGAUUUGCACAAUGAAAGAACGCAUGCUUGGAGUGGGGAUCAUCUCUUCCCGACCCUGUACUCGUGGUGCCAUUGUUUGUGGAGUCCUUGCGUCUGGAUGCAGUCGUCUACCCCUCUUUUCAUAAGGGCAGAUAUAAAGUUGUUUUUUUGGAUCAAGACGUGCUACGUAGAUCCAGUGGAAAAUCGGUGAGUACAAAUUUUUAAUGGUCCUGGAAUGCAAAUGGGCUAUAUCCAAAAUUAAUCAAAAAUGCAAGCUUAUUGUCUGAGUAUGCUGUAGGCCCAUCUAAUGGUUUAUUUAUAUCUGGAAUAUCAAAGGCUAAAACAAAAGUGUGGUGCUUCCCUCAAGUUAUAACAUGUAGAUUCUUCCAAGACGGCGCCUACCAGUGUGGCAGACUUCGUCAUGUUCUUCCUUGUACUGUUUGUGUUUUUGGGCAUCUCGGGACUCAAGUACAGACUUGCUAACCAUCAGAGAGUCUUCUCCUGACUUUUUCUUUUGACAAUUUUCGCCAAUCACUGAAUGUCUUUCCAGAGGUGCUCAUCAGCGCACUCUUCAAAGCCUCACGACGAAGAGGGACGCGUGUGCCGGGUACAAAAGUCCGCCUGCGAAAAGAGGGGACAUCGCCUAAUGCUUCCGACGAUCCACCUUGUGAACCUACGCUCCCUAGCCAACAAAAUGGAUGAACUUCAGCUUCUGAUUAAGACCUGCAAAGACUUUAGACUUUCGUAGCUCAGUGCUUCACGGAGACUUGGGUUUGUGGAUGAGUGCCCGAUGCCGCCCUCACACUACCCGGCUUCAACCGCCAUUAUGCGGACCAUAUUGCUGAACUAACACGGAAAUCGAAAGGCGGUGGAAUAUGCUUUUAUGUCAACGAAAAAUGGUGCACGGACGUUACACAGCUCAGCACACACCGCAGCCCACUUUUAGAGUCUCUGUUUUUGAACUAUUAGCCAUUUUAUUUGCCACGUGAGUUCACAUCUUUCAUCCCAGUCGGUGUUUAUAUUCUGUCUCAAGAUAGCAUAAACGCAGCACUGCUAACGCUCGCUGAGCAGAUUAACGAGAUUGAGAAAAAUCACCCAGAUUCACCACUCAUUACUCUAGGAGAUUUUAUCACAGCGAAACUCAACCACGAACUCCCGAAGUAUAAGCAGCACGUGAAAUUUCCAACAAGGGCAAAUAACACUCUAGACCAUUGUUAUACUUCCAUUAAAAACGCAUAUUGUACAAUCCCCCACACAGCCAUUGGCUCCUCUGAUCACUGCUUGCUGUAUUAAAUACCUACGUACGGGCAAGCACUUAAAUGUGGGAAGCCUUUUGGAAAAUCAGUCAUAAAGUGGACCAACAAGGCAAAAUUAAAACAUCAAAGCUGCUUUGACUGCACAGACUGAAGUGUCUUUGAAAAUGUGGAACUCAGCAUGUCAGUUUUUGUGAGGAAGAGUGUGUACCAACAAAAACUUUUUGCACGUUCAAUAACAACAAGCCAUGGUUUUCAGCCAGACUUAGACAACUCCACCAGGAUCAAGAGAUUGCAUAUUGUAGUGGGGACAGGGCACUCUACAAUCGCACUAGAAACCAGCUGACUAAAGAAAUUAACAUUGCAAAGAGGGACUAUGCAGUUAAACUGGAAAAACAUCUCAGUGCCAAUGACUCCAAAUCAGUUUGGCAUGGAUUACAAGUGCUCACUAACUAAAACCGACAUGCUCCCCCAGUAGAAAAUAAGAGCAGGCUAGCCGACGACCAAAAAAGCUUUUACAGAAUAUUUGAAAUAGACACUUCCACUCCACGCACCCACCAAGCCCGCACCACCUUCCACUACACCGUUUAACAACCAUGAAAGAAAGAUUAGACAGAUCUUCAAACAACAAAAGAUCAACAAAGCGCCCCACCCAGACCUUGUGUCUCCAUCCUGCCUCAAACUCUGCGCAGACCAACUUGCUCCUGUCUUCACAAACUUCAUCAUGUCUCUACAACUGUGUGAAGUACCAACCUACUUCAAACACUCCACCAUUAUACCGGUCCCCAACAAAGCAGCAGUCUCAGGUCUUAAUGAGUGGUCAUGAAAUCCUUUGAACGGUUUGUGCUGAACCACCUAAAGAUUGUCACAGGUCCCCAACUGGACCCAAUGCAGUUUACCUAUCAAGCUAACAGGUCUGUUGAUAAUGUUGUCAACAUGGGUCUGUACUUCAUCCUUGAACAUUUUGACAGCGAGGGUACCCAUUCGAGGAUCACAUUAGUGGACUGAAACACUGCUUUUACACAAUCAACCCUGAACUCCUCUACUCCAAACUUCUCCAGCUCAGCGUCUCACCUCCCGUCUCCCGGUGCAUCUACAACUUCCUGAUGGGCAGGAUACUGCAGGUGAGGCUAGGGGACACCACCUCAUCUACACGCAUUAUUAGCACCGGGGCACCCCAAGGUUGUGUCCUCUCCCCUCUGCUCUUCUCGCUCUACAUGAACGACUGCACCUUGUGGCAUCCGACUGUAAAACUCCUGAAAUUCGUAGAUGACACCACGGUCAUCGGCCUCAUCAAAGAUGGCGACGAGUCUGUGCAUCAACAGGAAGUGGCAAGAGUGGAGUUUUGGUGUGGUCAACACAACCUGGCAUUAAACACUGUAAAGACUCGGCAUAUGAUUGUGGACUUCAGGAGGCAUCUUUCACCACAGCUGCCCCUUACAGUGUCCAACUGUCUUGUGUCAACCAUUGAGACCUUCAAGUUUUUAGGAAGUACAGUCUCAGAGGACUGGAAGUGGGGAACGAACAUCAACAUGGACUAAGAAUUUAUUUGGAAGGUAGACAGAAACAAUCAACAGUGUUGGUAGAACAACACCCAUCAUAAAGUAUCUUGUUGCUUUAACCGGCACUUGGGGCUAUAGCUGGGUGGCUGAUAACCAGAAAUGGUGAUGUUAGCUUCUAUUAUCGCCCACAUAGCGCUAGCGCACAAAAACAACUUACCUCUAUUCUUUGGCAUGCAGAUGAAUGAGCCUAAACUGUGACAACCACAGCGAGGUUAAAGAAUGAGAAAUUUAGGUGCGAUUUCUCGUUUUUUGUUGCAGUAUGAUUCACAACACGCCAGCAUCUUGGUUUAGAUAGAAAGAAUUGUCAGGAAUGUUAAGCACCAUUGAUGUCACAGCGCAGGGACGUUUCUUUCGGGUCUGGCUGUGAAAACUGGCAGAUAUCCAGAUAUUGUGUGGAUUUCAAAUCUGUUCUUUGUUUUCAAUUACCCACUUUUUUUUUUAUCAAGUAAUAUCCAAAAUAUAUGUAAUCAUAUUAUUACUUCAGUUUGGAGGGUUUAUUGUACAUAUAAAUUUUGGACAAAGUCCUCCUUCAACCCAAUUGAUCUGGGACUGAAGCAUAAUUUAUCAAUCACGAAAGAUAAACAAUGCCAAUGCACUCCAGCUGCGCCACCGUGCCACCACUAUUAAUCCCAUCAUCCAUCCAUUUUCUUAGCUGCUUAUCCUCACGAGGGUUGCGGGGAGUGCUGGAGCCUAUCCCAGCUGUGCAAUGGGCAGGAGGCAGGUUACACCCUGAACUGGUUGCCAGUCAAUCGCAGAACACAUCGAGACAAACUUCCCCACUCACAUUCACACCUCGGAGCAAUUUAGAGUGUCCAAUUAAUGUUGCAUGUUUUUGGGAUGUGGGAGGAAACUGGAGUGCCCGGAGGAACAUGCAAACUCCACACAGGCGGGUGCCAUCUUAAUCAAAUAUGUACUAGAAUUUUUUUAAAUUGCGGGCCUUAAAUUCAUAAUGUUUGGGCUUCAGAUACCAUCACAAAAUAUCAGUUUCAAGCGACUUUCACCACAAACAAGCAAGACCGCCUGGCUCAUUGUGGACUGUUGUCGGACAAGUGAAAUGUCGCAGGCGGAGGAGGGAGAGGAAUCGUAAGUGGGGCUGUCGAUCUGGUAGCCUGCUAAGGCUAAAGAACAAUACACACAGAUCACCUCUUCCAAAACUGUACCUCACCAACGCCAGAUCUUUCGCCAACAGAGUGGAUGAGCUGGAAUUACACAUUGCGUAUAACUGCUGUGUUUAUGAUUGCUGCAUCCUAAUCGUAAUGGCAACCUGGCUUCACCCAAAUAUUCCCAAAGAUUGCGUCCAGCUAACAGGUUGCACCAUGCACAACUGGGAUCAGACUGAAAUCUCCGGCAAAAUCAGAGGUGGGAUUCUCUGUGAAUUCUUUUCGGAAAUUUUCUGAGAAGAAGCAUCAAGGUUUUUUCAAAUGAGAAACCCUGGAUAAUCAUCCAGGUCUAUUCACUCAGGUCAGGCACGUCUUUAGUUGAACUGAAAAAAAAAAAGGUAUCAAAAAUGCCAAAAAGGAGCACACGAGGAGGAUAGAGUCCCAUCUUGCCAGCAACAGACCUCAGGAGGUGUAGCAGGGUCUACAGAGCCUCAAAACCUUCAAAGGCUGGUAUGCAACACCAGGGGUCACAAACUAGUCGUUGGCAAAGGAGCUCAACAGCUUUUUUUGUUGCUUUGAAUCACUCAGCUGCUCCAUUGCUCCCAGCCAACCCCCAACAGGCUCCAGUAACUUUCUACUUACUCUACAGGAGUACAACGUGAGGCGUGUGCUCGUGGCUGCUGGCAUGGAUGCAGUGCCAGGCAAGGUGCUCAGUGCCCACCAAUUGUCAAGUGUCUUCUGCAAGAUCUUCAACCUCUCACUGGCCCAAGCACUCAUCCCCACUCGACAACAAUCGUUCCCAUCAAAAGAAAUCCUUAAUUAGUCUCAAUGACUAUCGCCCAUUGCCUUCACACCCGUCAUUAUCAAGUUCUUUGAGAGGCUGGUUCUCAACUACAUCAAAGACUGCCUCUCCCACCAACUUCGACUCCCAGCAGUUCACAUACUGCGUGAAUAAAUCAACAGAGGACACCAUCGGCAUAGCUCUGCAUGCUGUGUUGACUCACUUGGAACAACCACAGAGCUAUGGUACAAUGGUCUUUGUGGAUUAUAGCUCAGGCUUUAACACAAUCAUUUCGGACUUUAUGAUGAUUAAAGUGGAUAUCCUCUCACAUGCACCUGGAUCAAGGACUUCUUGACCAACAGGAGCCCAGAUUGUGAGAAUCAGCUCCCACCCUUCCUAGAGCGGGCUCACCACAGGGCUCCAUGUAUGUUAAGCCCUCUCCUGUACUCUCUACAGUUUCGACUGCAGCCCAGUCUCCAAAAAUAUCGUCAAAUUCGCUGAGAACAAAACAGUGGUCGGUCUGAUCUCAAAGGGAAAUGAAGCACCCUCGAGAGAAAAGCCCCAGAAGAUCACAACCUGGUGAACAGACAAUCUGGUACAAAAAACAAUAAAAACAAAGGAGAUCAUUUUUGUACUUCAGGAGGAACAGAGUUGAACCGGCUCCUCUGCUCAUCAAUGGCGAAUGUGUAGAGAGAGUCCACACCCUCACAAUCCCGAGAGUCCCAAUUUCUGAGUACCUCUCCUGGACAGACAAAAUCUCAGCGAUUAUCAAGAAGGUUUAACUGCACACCCUCCUGAGAGUCCUGUGGAAAAACAACCUGGAUACAAAGUUGUGGCUGGCCUUCUAACCACUCAUCCAUCAAGAGCCUGCUGGCAUACUGUCCCAAUUGGUAUGAAUGCUGGAAUGAGGAAGACGGCAAGGCUUUAGAGGACAAUCAAAACAGCAUAGACUGUUUACUGUCUACUCCCCUACUGGUAGACAUUUAUUCCUCUCUGUGCCUCAGCAGAGCUCAUAACAUUAUUAAGGAGGCCAGUUAUCAAAGUUUUGAGCUCCUUUCAUCUGGAAGGUGGUACGGAUGCACAAAAGAAAGGGCCAAAAGACUGAGGAACAGUUUUUCUUCAAGAACCAUCACCAUCCUGAACUCUCAUCUUUCCUCUAGCCGUGCUACUAAUGCACAGGCACAUUGAUUUCAUUAUAUUGAGAAAUACUAUUUACAUAUUUCUAUUUUAAUGUAUUUCUUAUUAUUUUUAUUUAGCUUUUAUGUAUGCACUGACUAAGUAGCGUCUCUCCAAUUUCAUUGUACAGUGUCGUAUGAUGACAAUAAUACAUGGCAUUCAUAAUCUUUUGAAGCUUAACUUAGAAUUCUUCUUUCGGCUCGUCCCGUUAGGGUUUGCCACGGCGUAACAUCUCAGAUGAAUGCUCAUAUUUGUUUGGCACAGUUUUUACGAAGGAUGCCCUUCCUGACACAACCCCUCUUGGAGAGUAGAGGCCGCGUUGAGAUACAAACUCAUGAUCCCUGGUUUACCAAACCAAUGCUCUAGGUCUGUAAUUAGCCUUAUUCCAUUGGUGUCUUAUGUUUCCACUUUGACUCCAAAUAUUGAGCAAUUACCAAUCAUUCCAGAGUGAAAUACAUUUACUACGCCCUAAAAUAAUUAAGUAACGUAUCCCUGAUUUAAAAGAGUCAACAUAAUUAGGGAUGCAAAAGAAGAGACAGGGCACCCUAUUCAUGUCUAAGACAGUGUGUAUUAAAGAGGUGGCUCUUUUAAACAUACAAAUCAAUAUAUUAAUGGAAUGUACAAAUAUAGCCUUUAUCUGACAGUGAUUUGUUUACAAAGAACUUAAUCCAGGAGCCCAGAGAAGCACUGGUCAUUAGCAGUAGCAUUUUAUUUACAUGCCAGGGUGACACAAGGCAGUGAAUGGUGAGCCAAAUGACUAUUGUUUAUGUUUUCAUAGGCACUGUUUUAAAAUGUUGUCAAACUACACCAUUGUUGAGCUAUGUGCCAAUCAAAAAUUCACAUAGCCAGAUGGGCGCACUUCUGAUAACCUCGCCCAACGCUGCUGAGCCUCACAGAGAAUUCUUUGUCUAUCUGCCCCCUUCCUUUCUGUAAAUAUGUCUCUUUUCUAGUGAUCCUUUAUUAUAUAGCACUUCUUGUAUCACGAUAAGUAUCCUUUCAGUCUACAUUGGUCUUCAUACUAUGAAUAAAUUGUACGUUACAGUGCAGUUUGUAUAAAGCAGAGUUUGGAAACUAACAGCCUCUAGGCCAUGGCCACUGAUAAUUUUAUCUGAGCUGGGCUUCUACAAACUCACUUCACUUCCUUGUUAAAGUAUUUAACCACAAGAUUGGCUCUGCAACCAAUAUGACAUGUGAUGACAUGACGAGAAAUACACUUAUUGGCUGACUUGCCCAUGGGAGGGACAUGCGGCAUUCAAUGCCGAAGUAAUAUCAACAAAAUUGCAGUAACUACAUGGGUGUACAUUUAUCAUCUAAUAAAAUAGUGGCAACAAUUUAUGGGAAUUGCAGGACCCAUCACCGUUGCUUUAAACGCACCUCGUCUGUCUGUGCAUCACUUUGCACUCCAUCAGGCAAGAGGUUCCCCUCAAGUUGGGUUUGUACCCCCAAACGUAAUGUAAGCGUAAAGCCCAGCAGACCUCUGGGAGCUGCGGUGGAUCUCCAUUUUGCCCAACUUAUAGCCUAUUUCGCCUGGAACCCCUUUGCAGAUGAGACAAGUUGGUUUGGCAUUUAUAAACGCAGGUGGGAUGAAUGCAUACUUUUAUUCCUACUUUUCUUUAUACGUAUACAAAAUGAUCGUGUUGCUCGAUUUUGUUGACCGAAAUCAAAACAAAGGUUUUUCCACAGUAUUGAAAGGAAGAUCAACAUGAUGAAGGAAUGUCUUCAAAAUGGCAGUAUUUAUAUGAGUGUACAUUUGUCACAUCAUAAAAUAGUGGCAACAAAUUAUGAGAAUUCCAGGACUCAUCAUUGUCUCUUCAAACGCACCUAGCCUGUCUGAAUGUGUCUUUGCACUCAAUAAGGCAAGAGGUUCACCUCACGCUGGUUUCCAUCCCCCAAGCAUAACAAAGCCCAGCAGACCUCUGGCAGCUGCAGUGCAUCUCAACUUCACAGGCUUAUCCAGGCUGGAACCCCAUUACAGAUGACACAACUUGCCUUGUCAUUGCAGGUUGGAUGAACGCAUAUUUUAUUUCAGUGUUUUUCAACCUUUUUUGAGCCACGGCACAUUUUUUACAUUGGAAAAAUUUUGUGGCACACCACUAACCAAAAAUGUUAAAAAAUGACACUCUGUAUAGUAUAUUUAAUUACAAUAUAAUUUCUCAAUUUAUUUAUACUCAGUCAGUGUGAAACCUGGGCCUGUUUAGAUGAACACAAAGCCGAUAUCCUGGCAGGAAUAGAAGAAAGACACACACAAAGCUCUUCUUCAACAGCUCUCAGUCUUUCUCUGUUUUAGUUUUUAUAGCAGUUAGGCUUGAAAAGCUUAGCUCACACAGAUAAGUUGUGGAAAAUGGGAGCAAUGUCAGAACAGCUUUGUUGGCCAGAAUGGGCAACUCCUUGGCAGCAGUCAACCAAAAACUGUCCAAAGGAAGAUCAGCAAAUCUUAGUUUUAAACCACGAUCCUGUUUCAGUUCAGUUAGUUCCUCCUGCUUUUGUAAAGUCAUGUCCUUUCCAACAACUGAUGCCGAGCUGUAUGGGUCCCUAACCCAGUCAAAGCAUUCAGUGGAGGCUGAAGAGAAAUAAAAUAACAACUUCUCCUCAAGACUUUUCAAAUGUUUACCUAUUACCUCAGACAGUGCAGCAGUGUUGCUUUGCCGUUUGUCUGUGAGUGGGAACAUCUCCAGGUUGGCACGUUGCACAUGUUGUUGCCAGAGGUGCACCUUUAAACGGAAUCCAUUUAUUUUAUUUGUGCUUGUAAGCAGGUUUUCAUUUCGGCCCUGCAUCCUUGUGUUCAGUUCAUUAAAAUGAUGAAAUAUAUCAGCCAGGUAUGCCAGCUUUGCGCACUACUCAUCACUUGCAAACAGAUUUGAGUAAUCAGACCUCUCAUUUGUCAGAAACAUUUUAAGUUCCUCUCGCAGCUCAUACACACGGGUCAGCACCUUACCGCGCGACAACCAUCGGACCUCCGUAUGGAGCAAUAAGCCUUUAUGCUCCGCUCCCAUUUCCUCACACAGAGAUGCGAAUAUACGGCUUUUCAGAGGUCAUGUCUUUACAAAGUUCACUAUGCGCACCACAUCGUCCAACACAGGAACCAGUUCUGCUGGUAAAGUCUUAGCAACAGGGCCUCACGGUGCAAAAAACAGUGUGUAACAAUCAGAUCUGGGUUUCUUUCCUUCACUCUACUCACGAAGCCUUUGGUGCACCCGACCAUGGCUGCGGCUCCAUCAGUGCACACACUUGUGCAGUUUUCCCACGUAAGUCCUCCCUGGUCAAGAUAUUCCGAUGUGAACCGAAAAAUUUCCUCUCUAGUUGUUUUUUCUGGCAGUGCCUUGCAAAAUGGGAAGUUUUCUCUAAUGGCAUCUCCAUCCACAAAACGCACAUUGGCCAAGAGCUGAGAAUGUCCACUAAUAUCCGUAGACUUGUCAACUUGCAAUCCAAAUUUCCUACUAAUGGGUAUCUUUUCCAAAACAUGGCUUUCGAUGUCUGUCGACAUGUCAUCAAUACGCCUGGCAAUUGUGUUAUCAGAGAGCGGGACUUUAGCUAUGUCUUUAACCGCAUCAGGGCCGAGCAUCUCGUUGACAAUGACUUUACAGGGAGGUAGUAUUAAUGUCUCUGCCACAGUCUGCGGCUUUUUUGAUUUAGCAACAAGUUCGGCGACUAGGUAACUAGCGUUGAGCGCUUUCUCAUUUACCUUUGUGGUUUUUCUCAUAAACGUUGCCUGUUUCUCUGUGUUUACACGCAGGCAAACAAAAUAGUCUGUCGGCUUGUUUUGAAGCGACGGGUGUGUCGUUUGGAGAUGGCGUUUAAGCUUGCUUGGCACCAUGGCGCUGUUGGAAAGCUUCUCGCCACACACCAGGCAUAACGGAAUAGGUGUCGUCUCAUCCCCGGUGAAAGUAAAUCCAAACGAAAGAUAGCUUUCACUACAUUGCCUUGAGCUAACCGUCUUUGCUUUCUUUUUCCCACCACUCAUACAAGGGCCUUCAUCCGGGUCAGAAUCUUGUCCAGGGCCCAGUUCGGAGUUUGCAGUUGUCCUUUUUAAAAACUUCUCCAUGACUGUCACCACGACCUCUCAGGUGCAUCACUAAUUCUCUUGGAGGAACGAGGCAAUCAGCUACGGGUUGCCACACGGACAAAUAUUACAUUACUCUGCUAGCCUUUACAGCAUGGACACUGGACAAUGACAUAAUAUUUGCAGAAAAUUAUUAAUAAAUGUUAAUUUAAAAAAAAAAAGGGAUAUUGUAUAAUUUCUCUCGGCACACUAGUGUGCCGCAGCGCAGUGGUUGAAAAUCACUGUUUAAUUGCCACUUCCCUUGGUAAGUACCAGAAAGAUAAAAAAUGUUGCACGAUUUUGGUGGCCAAAAUCUCAACAUUAAAGGUUUUCCACAGGAUCAACAGGUAGAUCAAUAUGUUAUACUGUUAUUUUUUUUGUUUUCUGAGAAGGUUGAUGUAAAUCUGAUGAUUAGUUUGGUCUUGGCGUGGUCAGAAAUGUGAUAAAUCAAAACAGAUGCCACCAUUGAAAAAUCUGAAAAAAGCUGGUUUAAACAUCACAUUUUUACCUCAACUAACGAGAAGCAUACUGGCACCAACACACAGUAAAAGCUUUUAGGCACAGAUUUCUGGACAAAAAGAAAAUCAGAGCCAAAUCAUGACAAUAACCCCAAAUGUGUUUUAAAAGACUAAUACAUCACACAAUAAUACUAAUACAUAGAGAAGUGUUUAUCACUCAAAAUAGGAACUAUUGAACUAAGUCUUAAAAUAAGACUGUAUAUGUAUAUAUGGCCCUGUAGCUCAGUGGUUAGAGCAUUGGUUUGGUAAACCAGGGGUUGUGGGUUCGUAUCUCACUGGGGUCUCCACUAAGGGUUGCGUCAGGAAGGGCAACCUGCGACUUGUGCGACCUCGAAAGGUUCAAGCUGAAAGAAGAAUGUUACUGAA